rnacentral:piRNA from 1 species
UGUUCAGGCGAAAUUUUUCUA